AAACUCAAAGGAAUUGACGGGGACCCGCACAAGCGGUGGAUGAUGUGGAUUAAUUCGAUGCAACGCGAAAACCUUACCUACCCUUGACAUGUCUGGAAUCCCGAAGAGAUUUGGGAGUGCUCGCAAGAGAACCGGAACACAGGUGCUGCAUGGCUGUCGUCAGCUCGUGUCGUGAGAUGUUGGGUUAAGUCCCGCAACGAGCGCAACCCUUGCCAUUAGUUGCUACAUUCAGUUGGGCACUCUAAUGGGACUGCCGGUGACAAACCGGAGGAAGGUGGGGAUGACGUCAAGUCCUCAUGGCCCUUAUGGGUAGGGCUUCACACGUCAUACAAUGGUCGGGACAGAGGGUUGCCAAGCCGCGAGGUGGAGCCAAUCUCAGAAACCCGAUCGUAGUCCGGAUCGCAGUCUGCAACUCGACUGCGUGAAGUCGGAAUCGCUAGUAAUCGCGGAUCAGCAUGUCGCGGUGAAUACGUUCCCGGGUCUUGUACACACCGCCCGUCACACCAUGGGAGUGGGUUUCACCAGAAGUAGGUAGCCUAACCGUAAGGGGGGCGCUUACCACGGUGAGAUUCAUGACU
rnacentral:rRNA from 1 species